rnacentral:rRNA from 1 species
CUAUGCGCCUUGCCAGCCCGCUCAGGUGUGCCAGCCGCCGCGGUAAUACGGAGGAUGCGAGCGUUAUCCGGAUUUAUUGGGUUUAAAGGGUGCGCAGGCGGAUUUUUAAGUCAGCGGUCAAAUCGUGGGGCUCAACCCCAUCCAGCCGUUGAAACUGGGGAUCUAGAGUGUGCGAGAGGUAUGCGGAAUGCGUGGUGUAGCGGUGAAAUGCAUAGAUAUCACGCAGAACCCCGAUUGCGAAGGCAGCAUACCGGUGCACAACUGACGCUCAGGCACGAAAGCGUGGGUAUCGAACAGG